rnacentral:rRNA from 1 species
AACGAACGCUGGCGGCAUGCCUAACACAUGCAAGUCGAACGAGACCUUCGGGUCUAGUGGCGCACGGGUGCGUAACGCGUGGGAACCUGCCCUUAGGUUCGGAAUAACUCCCCGAAAGGGGUGCUAAUACCGGAUAAUGUCUUCGGACCAAAGAUUUAUCGCCUUUGGAUGGGCCCGCGUUGGAUUAGCUAGUUGGUAGGGUAAAAGCCUACCAAGGCGACGAUCCAUAGCUGGUCUGAGAGGAUGAUAAGCCACACUGGGACUGAGACACGGCCCAGACUCCUACGGGAGGAAGCAGUGGGGAAUAUUGGACAAUGGGCGAAAGCCUGAUCAAGCAAUGCCGCGUGAGUGAUGAAGGCCUUAGGGUUGUAAAGCUCUUUUACCCGGGAUGAUAAUGACAGUACCGGGAGAAUAAGCUCCGGCUAACUCCGUG